rnacentral:rRNA from 1 species
CAGUCGCCGCGGGAAUACGUAGGUGGCAAGCGUUGUCCGGAAUUAUUGGGCGUAAAGCGCGCGCAGGUGGUUUAAUAAGUCUGAUGUGAAAGCCCACGGCUCAACCGUGGAGGGUCAUUGGAAACUGUUAAACUUGAGUGCAGGAGAGAAAAGUGGAAUUCCCAGUGUAGCGGUGAAAUGCGUAGAGAUUAGGAGAAACACCAGUGGCGAAGGCGGCUUUUUGGCCUGUAACUGACACUGAGGCGCGAAAGCGUGGGGAGCAAACAGGAUUAGAUACCCGUGUAGUCCCUGUCUCUUAUAA